rnacentral:rRNA from 1 species
GACGAACGCUGGCGGCGUGCCUAAUACAUGCAAGUAGAACGCUGAAGGAGGAGCUUGCUUCUCUGGAUGAGUUGCGAACGGGUGAGUAACGCGUAGGUAACCUGCCUGGUAGCGGGGGAUAACUAUUGGAAACGAUAGCUAAUACCGCAUAAGAGUAGAUGUUGCAUGACAUUUGCUUAAAAGGUGCAAUUGCAUCACUACCAGAUGGACCUGCGUUGUAUUAGCUAGUUGGUGGGGUAACGGCUUACCAAGGCGACGAUACAUAGCCGACCUGAGAGGGGGAGCGGCCACACUGGGACGGGGACACGGCCCAGACUCCUACGGGAGGCAGCAGUAGGGAAUCUUCGGCAAUGGACGGAAGUCUGACCGAGCAACGCCGCGUGAGUGAAGAAGGUUUUCGGAUCGUAAAGCUCUGUUGUAAGAGAAGAACGAGGGUGAGAGUGGAAAGUUCACACUGUGACGGUAUCUUACCAGAAAGAGACGGCUAACUACGUG